rnacentral:lncRNA from 1 species
UUUUUCUUCUCUUGAACCCCGGUACUUCUUUGAUUGAUUUUUUUUGCUUUUUCUUGGACCCCGGACAAUUAUUUUCGCGCGUAUGAUCCCUGAUCACCGCAUUUGAACCCCGACAACUUCAUAACACUCCUGUUUGCCAAACAAUGAACCCCGAUCUCCAUUUGAACCCCAGUCGCCUGACGAUAACUCGCGAUCACCGUUGUGAACCCCAUUCUCCAGAAAACACCCCGUGUCUCCCUUUCUCCAUUUGAACCCCAUUCUCCACUUCCUUGUGAUAAUUCCGCUGGCAACGCCGGAAAUAACACCAAACACCACUCUGAUGGUGACAUAUUAGAGGGUAC